rnacentral:rRNA from 1 species
GGUAAGCCUAAACCCUGUGAAAUAAGCAUAAUCGGAUGCCGUUUGAUUGGCGGAGCGUUGAAUGGACUAACGAGCGCAGUACUGUCUCGGUGGGAGGUGGAAUGAAAUUGAAGUGGUAGUGCAGAUGCUACCGCGAAUAGUGGGACGAUAAGACCCUGUGAAGCUUUACUGUAAACAGAUACAAUUUGCCUGGGAAGAACUAUAGUGUAAAAGUAUUGAGUGGGAGAAAUUGGCCCAUUUCUAGAUGACUAAGACCGUGUGUUGGCACUUAAAAAAAGGGUGUUUGCACAUUUUUUCCUAGGGGCCCCCUGUCUUAGACCCCAAAAUGAAAUCUAUACUAAUAUACUUCUAGUGUCUAUUUUGACCAACUUUCUAUAAUUUGUGUCUGUUUGUUAGUUUUGGUGGGGUGCCAGCGCGUUAAUAAGAACAUGGAUGUUAGCAGUAGUUAUUUCAUACUAGACUGUGUAUUUCACGUAAUUAUUCAGAGACAAAAGUCGGCAAAGUGACCCGCCCAAAUAUUUUGAAAAAAUUUUGGUCGUAAGAGAAUAAAAGUUACUCCAGGGAUAACAGG